AUACUAAUCACCUGGGGAUCUUAUUAUAAUACAGAUUCUGAUUCAAUAUGUUUGUAGAAGGGCCUGAGAUUCUGCAUUUCUAACAAGUUCCCAGAUGCUGGUACU
rnacentral:pre_miRNA from 1 species